rnacentral:pre_miRNA from 1 species
UGUGUGUGUGCGUGCAUAUGUGUGUGCAUGUGCAUGUGUGUGCACAUGUGUGUGCAAGUGUAUGUGUGCACUGUGUGUGCAUGCAUACUCAUGUAUGUGUACAUGU